AGCGAGGCAGAGCGAGGUAGAGCCAGGCAGAGUGAGGUAGAGCGAGGCAGAGUGAAGUAGAGCGAGGUAGAGCGAGGCAGAGUGAGGUAGAGCGAGGCAGAGUGAGGCUACUUAGCUACUACUUAGCCUGGGAAAAAUAAAUACAGCCAAACUUGUGCUAAAAAAACGUCG